GAGGAAUUCAGCUCAAUGGGAGGAAGUGACCAAGAGUCAGAUCUAUUCCGAGAUGGGCUGGGCCGCCCCAGGAGGCACAGAAGGGCUGUAAUUCAUUCAACAAAUAUUUACUCAACACCCACCUCAUUGUGCAGCCUCAGUUCAGGGGCUGGGCAUCCCGCAGUGACCAAGACAGACCUGGUCUGGCCCUCUCAGAGCUCACCCUCUGCUGACGACGGCAGGCACCGAGAGCAUCAUGACCCCAUCGUUCAGCAUGUUGCAGUCCUGACGGGCACUAAGGAGAGGACAUGUUUCCACAGUGGGCUUCCUCCUGGACCACGCUGGUUUACUAACGGCCCUUCCGAAGCUUGUCAAGAGGCCUGGUCUUCACAGCUACUGGCUGCAGCCCUACCCUAGACACUAGGUUCUGUUAAUGCAGCCCAGGGCUGCCCUUGCAUUUAUAGGCCUGCAGGCUGCUGCUAAGCAUGGGAUCAGCCAAGCCCCCUGGAUCUGUGUGAGGGGUGCUUUGAACCCAAGAGCCUACAAGGGAAGCUGGGGCCGUGUCUGCUGCCUCUGAGGAAGGAAGUCUGGCUUUGAACAUCUUUGGGAAGCUGGACGCCUGCCUCAUGGGCCAUGCCUGGAGCAACACUGCCCCCUCAUGGCCUGCUCUUCAGGUGCAGUCAGUGGAUGUUCGGUGAACUCAGAGCUGCCCUGGGAACUCCACCCGCCUGGCCUGAGGUCCACAGAGCUGCCCUCAAGAACCCCACCUCUUUCCCCUCUGGAGGUCCAUAGAGCUCAGAACUGUCCUCAGGGAACCCCACUCCAUCUCUCCUGAGGUCCACAGAGCUGUCCUCUGGCAGCCCACCCCACCUUCCUUGAGGUCUACAGGCUGCCUCUCAGUCUGCCGUCACCCGAGUUCUUGCCUGUCUUUGGCAGCCUGUCAGUCUGUCUUCAGCUGUGUGUACCUGGGAGUGUCUCUCUUUUGGGCUUGUGUUAGCCUUUGCUGCCUGGGCAUAUCUGUCUAUCUGUCCUGCUGGCUUGGGCCGCCUGUCUCUCUGUGUCUGUGAUCAGCACCUCCUCUCUCUCUUUCCAUUGAUCUCCACCUCACUCUGCCCAGGUCCCUGUUUCUGCUGCUUUGUCUCUGACUUGCUCCCUGCAGCCCUCCGCUGUCCGUGUCCUGGAGCUUGGGUCAUGGCUGCCUUCCCUCCAGUGUGGGACUGAUUUGGCUUUUUCUGCGAUGAGUCAGGAACUCCUGGAGGGAUGAGGGCUCUGGCCCCGCCCAGCAGUGGCCUCAGAGAGGAUGCAGGAGGCAGGAGGAGCUUUGGGCCUGGCCGAGGACUGUGACAAGAGAUUUUCCAAAAUAUUCUCCUGGGGCUGGGGUGGGUGGAUUCCAGCAGAUGUCUAAGGAGAAUGAGCGAGCUGGCUGUCCACCAGCGUGGAGCUGUGCUGUGGGGCUGUUCUCGCUGCUGCCUGUGUACAGGGCUUUCCUAAUCUCCUCAAUCCUCACCUGGCUUUCUGUCUCCUCAGGGCCUUAGCACAAAUUGUUUCUCCUUCUUGGAAUAAUCUUCCCCCUGAACCCUCACCUUAGAAACCACUUCCUCUAGGAAGUCUUCCCUGAUUUACACCCUCUGGGAUGGGGCCCUCCUCUGUGCCAGGACAGCGCCCUCUACUUCAUCAGUGUUACCUGGUUACGGUCUGCCUGCCCGCCUUGUGUGUCUGUUGCUGUAUCUUCAGUGUGUGGCUCUUUCUGGCUUUCAGUAAAUACCUGUUGCAAGAACAUUCGGGAGUCCCAUCUGAUUUCACCAAAUGUUGCCUCCUCCUUGAAGCCUCCUCUCCCCUCUCUUCUCUUAGGACUGUGCUGCCCAAUAUUGUAGCCAUUAGUUACUUGUGACUAUUUACAUUUAAACUAAGUAAAAUUAAGAAUUCAGUUCCUCAGUAACGAUAGACCCAUUUCGAAUGCCCAGUGUCCACAUGUGGCUAGUGGCUACUGACCGACUGGACAGUGCAGAAACAGAACAUUGGCGUCAUGACAGACGGUCCUGUUGGUCAGCACCGUCUUAGGACAAUCUUUGGAAACUGCUCCUUUGUUCAGAUUCUUUCCCAUCCUCAGGGAGGAUUGGACCAUGAUGGGUCCCUCCCAGGAUUCCCAGGGCCUGCCACGUCAGGUGACACAUGUGUGACGGAUGGAUGGAUUGGUGGGUGGUGGCUCGCCCCCUGGGAGUCCCAAGGAAAGGGGUGGCGCAGGCUGCCUCUGAGCCGUCGGGGGGAGUUGUUGCUCUGCUCCAGGUUCUGUGCGUGAACAGAGGGCCUUUGGUGACUCUCAGCCUGAAACUUGAACUUGUGGGUGGCCGUCAAGAGACUUGGGGCUACAAGAGCAUAGGGGUUCUUGCAGCUUAGGUGAUGGACCGAAGGGCCUGACUUGGGGACGUUUCAUGAGCACUGAGCCGUGCUGCAGGGCAGAGGUAGCUGGGACGGCUGGCAGAGGAUGAACCACGGAUGGCGUGGCUGGACCCAGGCUUCAGGGCAGGCUGGAGGGGCCCAUCCCGUGCAGACUUGAGUUGCCAGAGAGGGGCCCGGGCCCUGGGAGAGGGCUGGGGCAGCUGCGAGGAUAGAGUGCAGCCUGGCCCAGGGCAGAAAGGAGUCAAGCAGGCCUGGGGGGCCCCCCGCCCCAAUCCCUCACCAGCAGCUGGGCUGGGACAGUCAUGGCGGUCAGGGUCAGAGCAGGGUCUGACCUCGCAGAAGCAGGAGGUCAGCGAGGGCCUCCGUUCUGUGCCUGUGGCUCCUCUCCACUCGGUACCCCAGAGGCUCCGGGCAGCCGUCCUGCUUUGUUCGGGCUGCUCUGAGGUGAAAGGGACCUGCUCACCCCUGGGCAGGAGAGGGGGCCGUCAGGUGGUCAGGCCCACCACACACAUACACACACGUGUGUACACACACAUUUACACAGACACACUCUCAUUCUUACAAACACACAUUCACACGCACAUCCACAGACAUACUCACGUAUACAGAAACACAGGCACGCACACACUCCCAAACAGGCACACAUACACACAUACCCAGUCCCUUAGUGGCUCCCGGUGUUCCCUGGAUGAUCUGUGAUUUCUGUCUGAGAAGCUCGGAACUGGCCUCCAGUUCCAGGACAGGGUGUGGAUUUGCGCCCACACCUGACCCACACCCGGAGCGAGGAGCCGGCUAGCAGUUGAGGCCCCAGGGAUGCUGUGGGAAUUAGGGGAGCCCCGCCAAGCUGCAGUGGGCACAGAGCUCCAGGGGGCAGAGCUGAAUCAGGCCUUGGAACUCAGGUAGCCUUCUGGGGAGGGGUGCGUGGCAGCUUCCAUGCGCAUAGACAGGGAAGCAGCCAGGUGCCAGGACAGGGCAGGGUGUCCCACACAGGUCAGGUGACACCCUCUUCCCGCCCCCACUUGCUCUGCCUAUUCCUGUCCUGCUCAUCCUUCCCUUUGGUUUCUCAGCAUCUUUGUGCCAGAGGCCCCAGAAGUUCCUGGAAAAUCUCCUGUUUGGCCUCUGGCCCAGGAACAGGCCCGGAGGAGGUUGUGGGGGAAGAGCUGCCUGUGCGUCAUCUGUCCUCUGAGUUGGCAGCCCAGGGGGACCAGGGCUCCCUGUGGGCAGCCCAGGCCUGGGGAGGAGGUGGAGGCCGGGGGCGCUUUUUGCCUGAGCCCUCUGUGGGGGGUGGGAUGUCUCAGCGUGGCUGUGUGGUGUGUCCUUCUCGAGGUUCUCACCUUGGUCAGGGGUGUGCUGGCAGCUGGUGUCGUCUCAGGGACCAGGGACCUCACAGCACUUUGCACAGGGAGCUCCCAAAUACGUCCCAGGGAAUGAAAGACAGCACUCAGAGGGUGAGCUGGGGUGCGCGGCAGGGCGAGGGGCCCACCGCUUUCUCUUUCGGUGGGUCACAGGCACCUCCUCUGAAGGCCGAGGGCUGCUGUUGCCCGGCCGGGGGACCCUGAGAGCUGGGGCUAGACUCUCAGCUCGCUGGGAUGCUCACAGAGAUGUGAAUGGACGAGUUAUAAAUGAUGAGAGGCUGUAGGGGUGGGGCAUGGGAGGAGAGGUAUGCGGUGGGGCGAGCUCAGGACUGACGGUCACCCGCUGGUGGAGUCUAGCCCAGGACCCCUUGAAUCGCAGGUCUGACUCACCACCUCAGAACUGAGGCCAGCUCUGGAGCUGAGGCUGGAAGCCCAGGGUUGGGGCAGGACGGUGCUGGGGGUCCAUCUGAGCCAGCUCAGGUUCCCUGCUCGCCCAGAGGUGACGGAGCAUGAUGGAGAGGCAGAGGCCUUGGGUGACUCAGUCUCAGCUGGAGACCGAGGCCCUGCCACUGGCCUCUCUGGGCCUCAGGCUCCUCAUUUGUAAAGAAUGGGAAUGCUAGUACCUUGGGGGGCCUCUGUGAACCCAUAUGUGAAGGUGCCUGGCACAUGGCAGUGCCCCGGGAGGGUCAGCUCCUUUCCUCCUUCCGCUCGCUCUUUGUCCCCCAGGCUGUCCUGGCACUUUCGAAGCUGGGUAAACAAGGACUGUGGGAGGGGCUCCCUCUGGCUGGCCCAGCCUAUGGAGACUGGAGACACUGCUCAGGGCCUGCCCUCCCCAUGUCUGUGGGUCACAGACAGGCUCACCUGGCCACCAACAGCACAGAGCCACCACGUGUUGCCCACAUGGCUGUGCCCUCUUCCCACCUGCAGCAGCCACCUUGGUGCCAAGGCUUUUGACUAGGGGGACAGGAGCGGCUUCCUUGGUCCCCCUGAUACCCAGCUGUUCCCUGGGGGGCCCAGGGAACAGUGUAUGGGUCUAUGCAAGGACCUAGUCCCCCAGAGGGGCUCUGAGCCUUGUCCAUUGGAGCAUCAGGUGAAGUCUCUUCUGGGUGGGUGGCACCUGCAUUCCCAGCUGGUGAAUGUCCAGGAGAGAAGGUGUCAUGUAAUCUCCCUCACCUUCCGGCCCUGGCCCUCGUGUCCCAUGGUUUGAGAGUCGCUUUACUGGGAUAAGCGUUGGCUUCUCUUAGCAAUGCCUUAGUGCUGGCCCUGAAGUGGUCGUUAGAAGCCAUCUAGAGCAUGCCCUCACUUUACAGAUGAGGAAACCGAGGCCCAGAGGGCAAGGCACAGCCCAAGGGGACACUGUGGGGGUCAGGAGGGGUGAGGGACAGAGAAUUAAUUCAACAGAUGCUUGUUGAGCACUCGCUGUGCACCAGGCAUGUGCGGGUGCUGAGGAAGCCACAGCCUUGUCCUGGAGGGCACGUGACCCGUCAGAACGUCCCAGGACCCAGAGCUGCGGGGUUCGGGGGCAGAGCUGGUGGGAGGAGGUGGGCAGUGGCGCUUCCAGGUCACUGUGGGCACCACCUAUGGGCUGUAGCCCCCCAGGGUGAGGGACUUAGCCUUUUGUGCUUCCUUUUUGUUUGUCUGUGCUUUUUAAAUCUGCUAUGAGGUGAAGAUAGUAAUUGCAUGGCACACGUAGAGUUGUUGUGAGUUCAUAUAUGAGACGUGUUUGGAAUGGUGCCUGGUACACAGUAAGCGCCAUGUAAGUGCUGGUUAUUAUCACUCUGGCAGCGGCCUCCCUUGCCUCUGGAGCCUUUGGUUUGGACGUAUUGACCAGAUACCUUCCUCCGGGGAAGUGCUGGAGAGGAACAGCCUUGCUGGGAGGGGUGGGGGAGGCGGGGGCUGGAGGUGUCGCCUGCUCCCCCUGCCUGGAGCUGGGGAGAGCCGGGCAAAGGGGAAGCUGGCCAGGACCAGCCAUGCUCUGGUCAGGGCUGGCCGCUGCCUCCAGGGACACAGAGUUGCAGGGCACAGAAUUGCCUGGGCUGGGGGGAUGCUGGCCCUGCAGGGCUCCCUGGCCCAGGGGAGGAAUGGAACUGGGGGUGGUGUAGGGGUUGGGGGGCACGAGGUUCUUCCCUUUUAAAUUACAAAAGCAUCUAUGCUCCAUGUCACAAGUUCAAAAAUCACAGGAACAUAUAAAAUAAACAUGAAAGUCUCCCCUAAAACCCUUUCGACCCCUUCAACUCUCUUCAACUCCUUUUCCAAAACCUGCUCCUCAAGAUUAAACACCAUUAACAAUCUAAAUUGCAUCCUUUCUAGACCUUUUUUAUGUUUUAAUAACCUAAAUAUACACACAUAAAUACCAUUUUGCUUUUUAAAAAAGGAAAGACAAUUACGUAAUAUUACACACAUCGUUCUGCAACCUGACUUUUCCCACCUAACGAUGCGUCUUGGAAAUCCUCCCACAUCCCACCCAUGGGCUCCUCCACCAUCUUCCCCGUGUGGAGCAUCCCAUAGCCUGCACGUACCAGGAUUUAACCCUCUCCCCAGUAAUGGGCGUUCGAGUGGUUUUCAAUCUUGUGCUGUUACUAACAGGGCUGCCACAACAUCCUUGUACGUACAUCUUGUGUCCACAUGCAAGGGUUUCUGAGGCUCAAUCCUGCAAGAGGAAUGGUGGAGUGAGAGAGGACAUGCAUUUAAGAUUGUGAGCCUAACGUGAUUGUGAGGCCUAGCUUUAGGGCAUGCUGAUGCAAACCCCCAUAUGUGUACCUGCAAGUUCAGGGACCAGGAGAGUCAUGUGGUAUGCGGAGCACAGUGCCUGUGAUCCAGGUCCCCACCACAUUCUCAAGGCUGGGGGGACGCGUAGUGACCCCCCAGCACACUUACUGCUCCUCUGCCUCCCUCACAUGAGCCUCAGUGCCGCCCUGCAACCCUACUGAAUGUCCCUAGUGGGUUCAUCUCCUCUCUCGCUUCUAGGCAGCCAUUUUGUACCUUGCUCUUCCUGGAGCCUCUUCACUCUCAGCUGAUGACCUCACUUCCUGUCCCUCCGAGAAAAUAGAAGCCACCAGGAGAGAAUGUCCAUAACCACCCACUACCACAGCCACACACCUGCCUGCAUCAGUGCCCGAGUCCUCUGCCUCUUUCCUGGAGCCAAGGCAGCCCCUCUACUCUGCACAACCAGAUCUUUUUAAAAAAUUAUUUUUGAGAUAUAAUUCACAAAGCAUAAAAUUCAUUUUUAAAGUGUAAAAUUCCUAUUUUAGCAUUUAGAAUUCAUAAUUCAAAUUUUAGCAUUUUCACAGAGUUGUACAACCAUCACCACUAUCUAAUUCUAGAACAUUUUCAUCACCCCAAAGUGAAGCCGCAUGCCCGGCCACCCCCAUGCUCCUUCCCCCAGCCCCCGGCAGCCACUCAUCUCCUUUCUCUAUGGAGAGGUUUAUUCUCUAUGGAUUCAACUCUUUUGGACAUUUCAUAUAAAUGGAAUCAUACACUACGUGGCCUUUGGCUUCUUUCACUCAUCAUGUUGUUGCCGAGGUUCAUCCAUGUUGUAACAUGUAUCAGUGCUUCCCUGCUUUUUAUAACUGAAUACUAGUCCAUUGCAUGCACAGACUACAUUUGGUUUAUCCACUCAUUAGCGGAUGGACAUUUGGGUUUUCACUUUUUGCCUAUGAUGAACAAUGUUGCUGUGAACAUUUGCGUACACAUGUUUGUGUGCCUGUAUGUCUUUAUUUCUCUUGGGUGUAUACCCAGGGGUGGAAUUGCUUGGCAUUUGGUAACUCUAUAUUUAACUUUCGGAGGAACUGCCAAACUGUUUUGCAAAGUGGCUGCACCAUUUGACAUUCGCACCAGUAACGUACAAGAGCUUUAAUUUCUCCACAUCCUCGUCGAUGCUUAUGCCUGUCUUUUUGAUCCUACCCACCUGGGUGGGUGUGAGGUGGUGUCUUCCUGGGACGAACGACCAGAUCUCAUCCCUUCUCGCCUGCUGGAGGACAGCGUUCCCCUGAUUCUCCCUCCCCUCUUCUUCAACGGGGUUUCCCUGUAUCCAGUCACCCCAGCAGCAUGCAAGCAGGUUCUUAUUUUUUCCCACCUUAAAAAACCCCAAAGCUCUCUUGACUUCAGUCUCCGUCCAGCCGCCUUGCCAUCUCUCUCCUCCCUUUUACAACAAAACUCCGUGGAAGGAUUGCCCUGACUUGUCUCCAGGUUCUCUCCUUUCAUUGUCUCUUGUGCUUACUCCCAUCAGGCUUUUGUCCCCACCCUGUCACCAGAACUCUUCUUCAAGGUCACCGGUGACCUCUGCAUUGUUGAAUCCAAUAGCCUUUCUCAGCCCUGUCUUAAGGAUCCACAGCUUUUGACACGGUUGCUCAUUCCUUCCUCUUUCUUGACUUGGGUUCCUGGUUCCCCCUCCUUCGCUCCCACCUCCCCCUCACUUUCCUGCUUUUCCUCAGCAUCUUCCUGACCUCAGAAAGUUAAGGGGUUAGGGACUCCAUCCUUGGUCCCUUCAGUUUUCCUUCUGCCCUCUUGGAUCUCAUCCAGUCUCACGACUUUAAGUGUUGCCCAAGUGCUGAUGCUCCCAGAUUGUAGCUCCAGGCAGGACAUCUCCCCUGAGCUUCAGACUCAUUUAUCCCACCACCCUUGGGACAUCUAAUAGGCAGCUCUGACCCAACAAGUCCCAAAUGAAGCUCCCUGUUCCUCCCUUUGAACUCGUCAAUUCCACCUGUCAGUAAGAGCAACACCAUUCUUUCUGCAAUUUAGAACAAAAUCUUGGAGUCAAAGAUGACGCCUCUCUUUCUCCCACACUCCAGCAAAUCCUGCCUCUUCUCCUCACCCACCGCCUCAGCUACCCCGGGGCCAAACCACUGCCAUCUCCUGUUUGGACAGUGGUUGCAGCCAUGGUCCCUGUUUCCACCCUUGACUUACACAGUCUAUUUUAAACGCAGUGCCCAGAGAGAUCUUGUUAAAAGGCAAGCUGGGCUACGCCAUUCCUUAGCUCAGAACCCUGCGAUGAAGCCUGUUGUCAUGGGGUCAAAGCCCUUGCAAUGGCCUCUGAGCUCCUACAGAAUCUGGUCUCCCCUCUUACACUCUUGCACCCCUCCGCUUAAUCCUCACUGGCCCUUUUCUGUUCCUCAGACACAGCAGGCAUGACUCUACCUAUGCACCUGCUGUUCCCUCUGUCUGGAAUAUUCUGGGCCAGAAAUCUACCUGACACUCUCCUUGUGUCCUUCCAGACUUUACUCAAUUGUCACUGCUUCAGUGAGGUCGUGUUGGACCGCUCUACCUAAAACCCAAACCUCUCAGAGGCUCCCUGUCUGCUUACUGGUUUAUUUUCCUCCUUGUGCUUACCCUCAACGUUCUGUCUAUUGUGUGUGUUGUCCUGGUUUAUUAUUUGUUUCCUCACUAGAAUGUGAAGCAGAGUGAGGGCAGGCUUUUAGUCUGUUUUGUUCGCUACUGUAUACUCAGCUCCUAAAAUACUGACUGUCGUGCAGUAGGUGCUGAAUAAAUAUUUGUGGAACGAAUGAAUGGAUGUCAAUAGUCUGGAAGUUCUUCCCGAUGCUGAAGAACAGCCUCCACCUGCUAUGCCAUGUACAGCCAGCAGGUGGCACUGUGACCACAGAAAUCGCAGGCCCCUGGCUCCCCAGCAGCUUUUCUCAGAAAUCUGCCUCCAUAGAUGC
ensembl:lncRNA